rnacentral:rRNA from 1 species
AUGCAACUGGAGGCCGAUUUUGCUAGAACCGACAUCAUAAUUUUGCUGCAUCGGUGUUAUUUUUUGCGACAACCGGUUAAUUGUUUUGCUACAUGGCGACGGCUCGGUGCAGCGAUGGUGUCCUGCCAGAUCCAGCAAGGACCAGUGCUGCGGGGACGGCGAGCCGACGGUGCUUCGAAUCAGCGGCACGCGCGGCCAUGGCGGGCUGCGCGAGCGGGCCGGGUGCGCCGGAGAUUUCUAUUUUUUUGUUCUGGCAUGAUGUGCGAGACGAGGAAGGAAAAAAAGGCCCAGAUCCAACGGCAGAUGAAACUGCAAUCGUACGGGUGCGCGCUGACCGGCCGAAAUUCGGCCGGCGCACCGGCGCCUAGUAGUGGCCUAUUGUACAUCUGUCGGGUUUGCGAAACUGCACCGCCCAUCACUGGACUCAUGGCUUCAGUGGUGUUCUUUUGUAUGAUGACAUUUUGGAUGUUAGGUUCCAUUUUGAUGCUUCAGAAAUGUUUGAGCUGA